ACUUGCAUUUUUGAACUUAAAUUUUAGUUCUUGAUUUUUUUUUCUUAAACUGAUUUUAUUCAAUAUUUCCAUCGGCGAAAUACUUUCUUCAUUUCUAGCAUUUUUGUGACAUUAAAUGAAACACACUUUUUACCAUUUUUUGAAAUUAGUUCAUAAAAAUAACAUCUAAUCAAGAUGUUAUACCAAGAUGUUACACCAAGAUGUUACACCAAGAUGUAACACCAAGAUGUUACACUGAGAUUUUACACCGAUAUGCUACAUCAAGAUGGUACACCAAUGUUUAAUAUUGUUAUUUAACUUUAAAGCCUAAACCACACAUUCACGAUAUUUUCAAAAUAACUUUCAUUUACUGUAACAUUGUUCUCAAAACAUGCUCAAUCACUUCUGAACUAUCACAAGCAUCAAUCAUUUCUGAUUGAUGCAGCUAAAACUAUUUACGUAUAAAAAAAGUUUAAAUAUACUGACCUAUCAAAUGUCUUCGUUAUAUUUAACUUAGUAAACCUACAUUUAGAACAUUUAUUUGGUAAAGCAAUGUUUGGAACAAUUUUCAAUGUUAUAAUGAUGCCUAACACAAGUGUAAAAUGCAUUAUAUUAUCAAUGAGCAAACUGCGUAUAAGAGUACCAGUUAGGGGGCUGUGCAAUGAAUAAAACAUUUGAUGCACUGAUACAAUUACAGAGAUUGAUGGAGACAGUGUUUGAAGUGAUAGACAGUUUUGACAACAACGGCAGUGUUUUGUUAAUGGAAAAUGUAGCUACAUGCAAUAGAAUUGUUUCAAAUGACCAGCUACAUAGAAAAGUCACAAAAUAAAGAACAUAAAGAUGAAAUUUUAUAUCAAAUUGUCCUACCAAUAGAUUUAAGACUAUAUUUUAUUGAACCAACAAACAACUUUGAUAAAGUUAACAGUAUUUUUGAAAAAGAUUACGUUAAACUUCUUUAAAGCAAACAAUUCGAAUCUAUAUAAUAAUGUUAAACUUAAUAACAGUACUGGCCUUCCGUGUUUAAUACAGAACUCUUGGCAGCAACUGCAACCAAGGUAAUGGCGAGAAAGAAUCACAGCACUUUUAUUUAGUAAGAAAAUUUGAACUAAAGUGUGUACAAAUAUCUAACUUAUGUAAACUUCAAACUAUAUAAUGUUAAAACAUAUAUCAGGUUAUAAUAACAUACUUCGUUUUAA